AAACUGCAGGCUUUGGAUCUUGAGCUAACCCAGUGCCCCCUUGUUCCCCGACAUGGGUCAGGGUGGGUCUGCUGGUCUCUAGGGCCACAGGUGAAAUACCACACUACUCUCAUCUUUUUUUUCACUGACCCGGGGCGGGGGGGGGGGGAGGCGGGUCCAAAGGGGCUCUCGCUUCUGGUGCCAAGCGCCUGCGCCCUGCUCCGGGGACAGUGCCAGGUGGGGAGUUGACUGGGACAGUACGCCUGUGAAACUGUAAUGCAGUGUUCAAAGGCAAGCUCAGGGAGGACAGAAACCUCCCAUGGAGCAGAAGGGCAGAAGCUUGCUUGAUCUUAAUUUUCAGUAUGAAGAAUUACAGACCGUGAAAGCAGGGCCUCAUGAUCCUUCUGACCUUUUGGGUUUUAAGCAGGAGGUGUCAGAAAGUUACACAGAGAUAACUGGCUUGUGGAGGCCAGAGACACUAAGCUGCCAUGGAAUUGGGAUGUAUACUUCUGGAACCUGCCUUAGAAACUCUGGGUACAGAGCUUGACAGAUUGAUAUAUUUUGGGGUAAAGUCCAAAUAUUUUGUUAAGUUGCUUAUUGGUAUUGGAAUUGAUAAAAGGUGUUUAAUUGGCCUAUCAGGUUCCUUGUUUAACGCUACUGUUU
rnacentral:ncRNA from 1 species